UACGUAGGUGGCAAGCGUUGUCCGGAAUUACUGGGUGUAAAGGGAGCGUAGACGGACUUGCAAGUCUGAUGUGAAAAUCCGGGGCCCAACCCCGGAACUGCAUUGGAAACUGUAUAUCUAGAGUGUCGGAGAGGCAAGUGGAAUUCCUGGUGUAGCGGUGAAAUGCGUAGAUAUCAGGAGGAACACCAGUGGCGAAGGCGGCUUGCUGGACGAUGACUGACGUUGAGGCUCGAAAGCGUGGGGAGCAAACAGG
rnacentral:rRNA from 1 species